AACCUGAGCAUAACCUUUUAAACUCUGUAUGUGCCUUUAGAGCCCCCAUUGGGAUUUCUAGGGUUUUGAUAAAGUGUAAAGCCUGAAAACAUUGGAAUUCCUCUGCUAGAGGUGGAGGCUUACUGUUUAUUAUAACUGAUAGAGGUCGAAGCCACAGACGAUCUAGUGGUAUAUAUGGUGCAUUCUCUAAAUGUGUUGUUAG